rnacentral:rRNA from 1 species
GACGAACGCUGGCGGCGUGCUUAACACAUGCAAGUCGAACGGAAAGGCCCUGCUUGCAGGGUACUCGAGUGGCGAACGGGUGAGUAACACGUGGGUGAUCUGCCCUGCACUUCGGGAUAAGCCUGGGAAACUGGGUCUAAUACCGGAUAGGAGCCAUUUUUAGUGUGAUGGUUGGAAAGUUUUUUCGGUGUAGGAUGAGCUCGCGGCCUGUCAGCUUGUUGGUGGGGUAAUGGCCUACCAAGGCGGCGACGGGUAGCCGGCCUGAGAGGGUGGACGGCCACAUUGGGACUGAGAUACGGCCCAGACUCCUACGGGAGGCAGCAGUGGGGAAUAUUGCACAAUGGGCGCCAGCCUGAUGCAGCGACGCCGCGUGGGGGAUGACGGCCUUCGGGUUGUAAACUCCUUUCGCUAGGGACGAAGCUUUUUGUGACGGUACCUAGAGAAGAAGCACCGGCUAACUACGUG